rnacentral:rRNA from 1 species
GCCAUGGCGGCCGCGGGAAUUCGAUUAGAGUUUGAUCAUGGCUCAGAUUGAACGCUGGCGGCAUGCUUUACACAUGCAAGUCGAGCGGCAGCGCGGGACUCAGGCAACUGAGCCCUGGCGGCGAGCGGCGAACGGGUGAGUAACACAUCGGAACGUAUCCCGUAGAGGGGGAUAGCCCGGCGAAAGCCGGAUUAAUACCGCAUAUGCUCUACGGAGGAAAGUGGGGGACCUGCAAGGGCCUCACGCUAUGGGAGCGGCCGAUGUCCGAUUAGCUAGUUGGUGGGGUAAAGGCCUACCAAGGCGACGAUCGGUAGCUGGUCUGAGAGGAUGAUCAGCCACACUGGGACUGAGACACGGCCCAGACUCCUACGGGAGGCAGCAGUGGGGAAUUUUGGACAAUGGGGGAAACCCUGAUCCAGCCAUGCCGCGUGCGGGAAGAAGGCCUUCGGGUUGUAAACCGCUUUUAGUCGGGAAGAAAAGGCGUCUCCUAAUACGAGGCGCUGUUGACGGUACCGGCAGAAUAAGCACCGGCUAACUACGUGCCAGCAGCCGCGGUAAUACGAAUCACUAGUGAAUUCGCGGCCGCCUGCAGGUCGACCAUAUGGGAGAGCUCCCAA